UACGAAGGGGGCUAGCGUUGCUCGGAAUCACUGGGCGUAAAGGGUGCGUAGGCGGGUUUUUAAGUCAGGGGUGAAAUCCUGGAGCUCAACUCCAGAACUGCCUUUGAUACUGAAGAUCUUGAGUCCGGGAGAGGUGAGUGGAACUGCGAGUGUCGAGGUGAAAUUCGUAGAUAUUCGCAAGAGCACCAGUGGCGAAGGCGGCUCACUGGCCCGGUACUGACGCUGAGGCACGAAAGCGUGGGGAGCAAACAGG
rnacentral:rRNA from 1 species